CCUACGGGUGGCAGCAGUGAGGAAUAUUGGUCAAUGGACGAGAGUCUGAACCAGCCAAGUAGCGUGAAGGAUGACUGCCCUCUGGGUUGUAAACUUCUUUUAUAUGGGAAUACAAUGUUCCACGUGUGGGAUUUUGUAUGUACCAUAUGAAUACGGAUCGGCUAACUCCGUGCCAGCAGCCGCGGUAAUACGGAGGAUCCGAGCGUUAUCCGGAUUUAUUGGGUUUAAAGGGAGCGUAGGUGGAUUGUUAAGUCAGUUGUGAAAGUUUGCGGCUCAACCGGAAAAUUGCAGUUGAAACUGGCAGUCUUGAGUACAGUAGAGGUGGGCGGAAUUCGUGGUGUAGCGGUGAAAUGCUUAGAUAUCACGAAGAACUCCGAUUGCGAAGGCAGUUCACUGGACUGCAACUGACACUGAGGCUCGAAAGUGUGGGUAUCAAACAGGAUUAGAUACCCUGGUAGUC
rnacentral:rRNA from 1 species